UUUAUUCAUUUUUCAAUCGCAGUAAGCAAUAAAUUUAGAGUAUGAAUUAUUUGACAGAAGAAAUUUAAAAUGUAUAAAUUAAAAUCAUAUUUUCGCAAUGCUUUAUCCAAAAUUUCCUGUUCAUCACUUCGCGUGAGUCUCUUCAGUUGGCCACUUUUUAAUUUUGUUGUGCAUACUCUCUGCACUCGCCUCUUCAUAAUAUAAUGAAAUGUUGGAAGUACUAUUUUUGAUAAUAAGCCUGAUCGGUCGCUUUCUCGGUAUGACUUGGGAUUAUAAGCUAGCUGGCUUUUGAUUGGUCGCUUUAUAAGGUUUUAUCUUUUAUAUAUUCGUUCAUUUUCGGGGAUGUGAGCUAAAAGGAUGCCAGAGAUAAAGUCCUGUUCCAUUUAGAGAUAACCUUUUUAUCAAAAUUCCAAUUCUGCUCACAAGUUUACAUCUUUAGACGACAGAUCACGAUGGCAAAACUUGAAAAUGUGAGCUACAAUUUAUUGAUUUAAAUGGCAGUCAACGGCUAUAGCUUUUAGAGGACUCUUUAUACCAGAUUUCAAAUUCUCUGCCCUCUCAAAUUCCAAUUUUGAUCUCUCUCUUCUUCUUGUACUUGUCAAUACAUCAAUUCAAAACAUUGGCCGCAAUACAUACGCUCACCAUCCACAAUGGACACACAGAUUUAAUUGAAUAUUUUUGGUCAACCCGGUUCGAGUACUGUGAUAAAACAGACCAUAAUAAAAACGAGUGAAAAAACA